UAAUAAGUGAGACCAACGUUGUAAGGUGUUAACUCGGAGCCAUCAUCUAUCCUUGUGGAGAACAACACAGAGGACUUGGAUUAGGACCUGAUAGUCUACCUUGGCGGCACGUGAGAAUCACCUGGGGAGCUUGUGAAACAUGAGGCUGCCAGGCUGGACCUCACUCCAGACCAAUCGAAUCAGAAUCUUUGGGGUGGGGCCUGGGUGUUGGUAAUUAUCCUUUGAAACACUCCCCAGGUGAUUCUAAUGGAAUCUAGGGGCGAGAAUCACUGGGGUAAGGCAUUUGUAGAUGGGGAGAUUGGUGGCAUCUGCCAGAAGACUUGAUGUAUACUUGGCCAGAGAUAAACCACAAGUCUGGCCUGAAUGUGGAAAUGCGUCAGUCAUCUUUUCAGAUUUCCAAGGUCAUGUGAGCUUGGACUGAAGAUAGCCCAGCACAGGGCCAGCGAUGGCAGCUGGAAGGGUGGCUGCCUGGGAAGGAGGCCCAAGACAUUUCCAUGGGCCUUUGGAAAGCUUUCAAACUGGAGGUCUCCUGCCUCUCGAUGGAGAAGCCCUGGUGGCAGCAAGCCUUUUCAGCCAGGCCAACACCCAUCCCUUGCCUCAACCAGAGGACCACUGAGGCUGACCUGGCGAGGUGGACCCUUUGGGAAGACUGCUGUUGGUGAGGUCCACAUUAGGGUAGAUUUAGGGGCAUGCUCCUUCUACUUUUUUCGUUAUCUCUUUUGCCUUCUCUCCUGCCUAUGACUUUGUCCAUCAAUGGCAGCCAAGAGAAGCCAGCGGCUCCCUUAGACCCAGUCCACUCAGCUGGUGCCACUGAAGACAUUUCUGAUCUCAGUGAAAACAUCAUGCAAGAAGAGCUGACCACAAACCAACACUUGUGGAAAUAAAGCUGAUUAUGUAGACACUUUGAUUAAAACUGGGAAUACAAAAUGCUUGCCAUGUAUUCUUUACAAAACCAGCAUCCUAAUGUCUUUUCAGAGUAGCCAAUGUGGAAUGAGCUGCUGAACUUUUGUCCUUGAUAAAGCUGUAGUGAGUGCACAGACUGCUGGAAUUUUCAUGUUAGAUGGCAUCAGAGGUGUGUUCAGCUCCACUGCUAUUGCCUCUCCACAGAAUGCCUUUUUGCUGUCUGCCUGGUGGCUGCAUCCCUCCCAUCUCAGCUGCAAAUCACCUCCUGUGAUUCCUUGACUUCUCUGAGACUGAAUGCUCUUUCUUUUGUGCUCCCAGUGACUUUAAUAGUGUUCACAUAUCCAUUAAAGCAUUGUCCACCU
rnacentral:lncRNA from 1 species